rnacentral:misc_RNA from 1 species
GAUGAAGAACGUAGUGAAAUGCGAUAAGUAAUGUGAAUUGCAGAAUCCAGUGAAUCAUCGAAUCUUUGAACGCACAUUGCGCCCGCCAGCAUUCUGGCGGGCAUGCCUGUUCGAGCGUCAUUUCAACCCUCGACCUCCCUUUGGGGAAGUCGGCGUUGGGAACCGGCAGCACACCGCCGGCCCUGAAAUGGAGUGGCGGCCCGUCCGCGGCGACCUCUGCGUAGUAAUCCAACUCGCACCGGAACCCCGACGCGGCCACGCCGUAAAACACCCAACUUCUGAACGUUGACCUCGAAUCAGGUAGGACUACCCGCUGAACUUAAGCAUAUCAAUAAGCGGAGGA